rnacentral:rRNA from 1 species
UCUGGUUGAUCCUGGCGGAGGCCAUUGCUAUUGGGAUCCGAUUUAGCCAUGCUAGUCGCACGAGUUCAGACUCGUGGCGAAUAGCUCAGUAACACGUGGCCAAACUACCCUUCGGAACACAAUACCCUCGGGAAACUGAGGCUAAUAGUGUAUACCAUACCACCACUGGAAUGAGUGGUAUGCCAAACGCUCCGGCGCCGAAGGAUGUGGCUGCGGCCGAUUAGGUAGACGGUGGGGUAACGGCCCACCGUGCCAAUAAUCGGUAUGGGUCAUGAGAGUGAGAACCCAGAGACGGAAUCUGAGACAAGAUUCCGGGCCCUACGGGGCGCAGCAGGCGCGAAACCUUUACACUGCACGAUAGUGCGAUAGGGGGAUCCCAAGUGCACAGGCAUAGCGCCUGUGCUUUUCGGUACCCUAAGGCGGUACCAGAAUAAGGGCUGGGCAAAGACCGGUGCCAGCCGCCGCGGUAAUACCGCAGCCCAAGUGAUGGCCGAUCUUAUUGGGCCUAAAGCGUCCGUAGCUGGCCGCGCAAGUCCAUCGGGAAAUCCACCUGCUCAACAGGUGGGCGCCCGGUAGAAACUGCGUGGCUUGGGACCGGAAGGCGCGACGGGUACGUCCGGGGUAGGAGUGAAAUCCCGUAAUCCUGGACGGACCGCCGAUGGCGAAAGCACGUCGCGAGAACGGAU